rnacentral:rRNA from 1 species
AACUAAGAGGCCGCAUGCCAUAGAAAUAAGCCCCAAUGGGAUUAGGUAGUUGGUGGGGUAAAGGCCUACCAAGCCUGCGAUCUCUAGCUGGUUUGAGAGGAUGACCAGCCACACUGGAACUGAGACACGGUCCAGACUCCUACGGGAGGCAGCAGUGGGGAAUAUUGCGCAAUGGGGGGAACCCUGACGCAGCCAUGCCGCGUGAAUGAAGAAGGCCUUAGGGUUGUAAAGUUCUUUCGGUAUUGAGGAAGGUUGAUGUGUUAAUAGCACAUCAAAUUGACGUUAAAUACAGAAGAAGCACCGGCUAACUCCGUGCCAGCAGCCGCGGUAAUACGGAGGGUGCGAGCGUUAAUCGGAAUAACUGGGCGUAAAGGGCACGCAGGCGGUUAUUUAAGUGAGGUGUGAAAGCCCCGGGCUUAACCUGGGAAUUGCAUUUCAGACUGGGUAACUAGAGUACUUUAGGGAGGGGUAGAAUUCCACGUGUAGCGGUGAAAUGCGUAGAGAUGUGGAGGAAUACAGUAGUCGAAGGCAGCCCCUUGGGAAUGUAGUGACGGUCAUGUGUGAAAGCGUGGGGAGCAAACAGG